rfam:Xenorhabdus beddingii strain DSM 4764 Xbed_2, whole genome shotgun sequence.
CUCAGUCAGUAGAGCCGUUGGCUUUUAAUCAAUGGGUCGCAGGUUCGAGCCGAGCGAAGCGAGACAACGAUGCGUGAGCAUCGGCCCGAAGGGUGAGUAGCUAGUAAAUCCAUGAGCAAAAAUU